rnacentral:tRNA from 4 species
UUUAUACAGAGUUUGGAAGGUAAGCCGGUUCGAUUCCGGCAGACUGAUGGGUCAGGGCGCGGUUCGAGUCCGCUAUAUAAAU